rnacentral:misc_RNA from 1 species
GUCUAAGAAUUGUAUCCAAUCGAAGAGUCUCUUGCCCAAUCCUCUAUAUCAAAACUUUGUUCGUCUGUUUGGUGUAAGAGGAAGAAGCAGGGACACGCUUGGUACGAAACAUCAGGAAACCGACGGGUAAGACCACUCCAAUCAUCAUUAUCGCUGCGCCGAUAAUAUAUCUUAACGGACUCGGCGGCUCCACCUCUAUGAUUCUCCGGUAAGGCAUUUUUCUUUUAUGUUCUCUUUCUUUGGCUGGUGCAGCUUGGAGCGAUCGAUAGAGAGAAAGAGUAGCUGCAAUAAUUGUAGACGAAGGACCGGGAGAUCCGUUGCUUGCACUUCAAUGGCGAUUUCUAGUUUUC